rnacentral:misc_RNA from 1 species
GGGAGCAGUUUUCAUCUGCAAUGAAGACACUACAGGGAAGGUUUUGUUGCUAACAUGUACAAAUGUAAAGAGUGUAUAUUCUCUUAGAAAAAAGAACCUAUAACUUAGGAAAGUUUAUCACACUACUCCUAAUACGUCACGUUUUAGCUAAUCUCGAAGGUGGUCAUAGUCCCCAUUUUCUGGAGACUGGUGCAAGCCCUGACCGGUGGUAACUCUCCAAUCAGUUGAAUGUAAUGGUGUUGGUUGCAUACCGCGAGAAGGCAUCAUAAACUGACCUCCACCCAUACUUUGGUUAGAAGAAUCAACCAUUGAACGAAAUGAUAAUGGUGAUCCACCAAAUUGGGCGGAAGUAUCAUGCUUUAGUCCCCCAGUUUUUGAGUCAACUGAAAAUGAGCCAACAAUCACCUGAAUUGGGCCUCCAGCAAUCAAGGGACCACCAACUCCACCUCCAAUAAUUUGACCGUCAUUACUUGCCAGACACACACUCAGCCCACCGGUUCUGCCUCCAGUCUCGGUGCGUACAUAAGAUCCAGCUAGAGUGAGAAUGUCAAAUCGACCCUCAUAUGUAAUACUUCCUCCAGAUGUUGCUGGUUGACGCAAAGAGGCAUUGGAGACUGAGCCAGAUGCUGACAAUAUGCAUAGUUCAUGUUUGCUUUGUUGCAUGAACAUCAUGAUUUUCUGACCGACAUCCUCUCCAGCAGACACGGUGAUGAUAUGAGGUGUAAAACCUUGACCAGCAUUGCCCAACGCAGCUAAUUGAGAUUUCUUCGAAGAACCACCACCACCACCGUCUGCUCCAGCAACAUGGCUCAAACCAUGAUCCCUCUUUUUAGGAGGAGCUGACGCCGACGACAGCCUUUUAGCAGCAGCAGCUUGCUCCGGCGUGCUAUACUUUCUAGGUCUCCCCCGCUUUCUCUUCACACUCUCCAUAGUCGGCGACACAGCUGACGGAAGCGAACCAGUGUACACCAUAUGAGAAGCGGCGCCGACUGUGGUGUUAGCGUUAGCGUUAGCGGUUGGAUUGUUAAUUGAUACAAUUCCAUUGGUAGUGGUGGUGGUGGUUGUAGGGUUAGGGUUUUGCGGUGGUUGUGACGGCGGCGGUUGGUGGUGGAUGUGGUGGUGGAAGUAAGAAUUCAGUCCAC